CUUCCUCCCUCCUCCCAUCUUUCCUUUCCCAUCCUUCCUUUUCCCCUGCAGCCUUCUUUCCCACUAAGCCCUUUCCGCAAAGGUCUGCUGUCUUUACCCCUGACCCUCAGUUCUAGGCAGUGGGUCUCAGUUUCCACCCGCAUCAAGCGCAACUUGGAAAAAUCUGUUUCCUCAGCUUUAUCCCGGUGACAAGAACCGGCAACAGCAACGGACUCUGAGGCUUUUCCAUCUUACUUCCUUCAUUUCCUGCUCACAGGGUGGAUUAAAAACUUGGUUACAAAACCUGGACUGGUGGCUCCUGGAAGAGCCCUGAGGGAAUUUCUGACGGGCUGGAGGAAGGAAAUCCUCUGUCUUACUUUUGCUGUUUUUUUUCUGGAGUGUUUUCCAGAGGACGACAGCCUGUGGACAUGGCCCCCGAGGGCUUUGGUGGGGGUGGCCUUCCUCCCUUUCCUCACCCCUGGCCUGGCCUGGGCUGACAGCCUGCUUCAGGGCCAAGGAACCAGCAAUGCCAGGCACUCCCUGAGCCCUGCUGGCCAAAAGGUGCCCAUUCCUCACACUUCUAUCUUCCAUUCUGCUGCUGCUAAGUCGCUUCAGUCGUGUUCAGUCUGUGUGACCCCAUAGAUGGCAGCCCACCAGGCUCCGCUGUCCCUGGGAUUCUCCAGAGGCUGAGCUACAGGCAGCAGCUUCUAGCCCCUGGAUAUUUCUAGCACCUUCUUGCAGACCCCAUUGGAAGCCUUUGAGGAACUGUGUGAAUAUAACCUGUGCUGCUGGCUUCUGGACCCUGAGCAGAGAUUGGAUCCUGCAGUGCUGAAGCCUCUGAUUAAAUAAAUAACCCAUAAUUAACGUUGUGUUUCCUUUCAUUCUCUACCUAUAAUUGUGACUCUUUCCCAAAGCUGGGGAGGGAGUGAAGAAUGCUUGGUGGAUUGUUGGGAUACACACUGGCCCAUCAGCAAGCAGAAUGAACAAUAUAC
ensembl:lncRNA